rnacentral:rRNA from 1 species
AUUGAACGCUGGCGGCAGGCCUAACACAUGCAAGUCGAGCGGAUGAAGGGAGCUUGCUCCUGGAUUCAGCGGCGGACGGGUGGGUAAUGCCUGGGAAUCUGCCUGGUAGUGGGGGAUAACGUCCGGAAACGGGCGCUAAUACCGCAUACGUCCUGAGGGAGAAAGUGGGGGAUCUUCGGACCUCACGCUAUCAGAUGAGCCUAGGUCGGAUUAGCUAGUUGGUGGGGUAAAGGCCUACCAAGGCGACGAUCCGUAACUGGUCUGAGAGGAUGAUCAGUCACACUGGAACUGAGACACGGUCCAGACUCCUACGGGAGGCAGCAGUGGGGAAUAUUGGACAAUGGGCGAAAGCCUGAUCCAGCCAUGCCGCGUGUGUGAAGAAGGUCUUCGGAUUGUAAAGCACUUUAAGUUGGGAGGAAGGGCAGUAAGUUAAUACCUUGCUGUUUUGACGUUACCAACAGAAUAAGCACCGGCUAACUUCGUG